UACACUAUAAGACUGGGAUAACUUCGGGAAACCGGAGCUAAUACCGGAUAAUAUAUUGAACCGCAUGGUUCAAUAGUGAAAGACGGUUUUGCUGUCACUUAUAGAUGGAUCCGCGCCGCAUUAGCUAGUUGGUAAGGUAACGGCUUACCAAGGCGACGAUGCGUAGCCGACCUGAGAGGGUGAUCGGCCACACUGGAACUGAGACACGGUCCAG
rnacentral:rRNA from 1 species